UACAGAAUGUCAAGAGACAAUUAUCUUUGAGGUCUCUCAAAGAUGACUUCUUGGCACAUUUAUCUUUAAGCUCAAGUGCUGCCAAAUAGAAACAUUUUUCGGACAAUUUUCCACAGAUAUGCCUGAAGUGAGCGACUGGUCAGCAGUCACUCAUAAAGCAACAGCAAACAUUUUUGAGUUUGACUCUUCUAGUCCAUAACUGUCCAACUUGGGGAUGGCUGUGUUGCUUAGUAACCAUAGAACAUGAGUGACCUUAUUGGGUGGCUCUGGGCAGGCAGAAUACACAGCUGGUGCUCAUCAGUCAUCGGGAGAGUAUAAAGAGGAGCUGAGUCCCUGAGAUAAUUCUCACUCACAGUGUGAGCUGUAACCUCCUCCUCAAGUGUGUGUUCUUCGAAUUCCAGUUUGGAGGCCUCACCUGCGUUCGAUCUCACGACAUUUGCCUUCAGUCGUCCUCAGAAGGUACAUCUCCUUCACUGUGGAUCAGUAGUCCACCACCGGAGAACGCUACACACUGGCUCCAAUCACUGCUUGCCUGUCCACCCUCGACACUGGCUGUCCUAAGGAAACACCAUCACCCACAGAGAUGUCUCGGAGCUGAUCUCGGAACUGAUCUCAACCAUCAUGGAGACACUUGCCCUCCUUGAAGAUUUCCAGAAGCCUCCCUGAUCUGAAGAGAUCCACCAUGAUAUCAUUGCAAAAACUAAAUAAACCCUUUAACUGAU